UACGUAGGUGACCAGCGUUGUCCGGAUUUACUGGGCGUAAAGAGCACGCAGGCGGUCGUUCAAGUCGAGUGUGAAAGCCCCCGGCUCAACUGGGGAGGGUCACUCGAUACUGAUCGACUUGAAGGCAGGAGAGGGAAGCGGAAUUCCCGGUGUAGUGGUGAAAUGCGCAGAUAUCAGGAGGAACACCGGUGGCGAAGGCGGGUCUCUGGGCCGAUACUGACGCUGAGGAGCGAAAGCGUAGGGAGCGAACAGG
rnacentral:rRNA from 1 species